ACCCCUAUCGACAAAGUGUUCAUCGAUGGAUGAAUUUUUUGAAAAGGGGGUGAAAAUUUUGCUCGAAUCACCCUAAAAUGAGAGUGUGUGCGUGGCUCGCUGUAUCGCGAUAGAGUUCGGCGUGUGUCGAAUGAAUGUUCAAAAAGGUCGUAGUAGGCUAAAAAUCUGUUUUUCUGUUUUCGCUCGGUCGCUGUACAUUUUCAUACGGGAAUAGUUCGUGAAUUGUGGAUUGCGUCAGUUCGUGGACUGUGUAUUCGUUUGUGGAAUAGUGUUUGCCAAGUUAUUCCAGUUCUAGUUCUAAAAGGAUGUUCCUGUGACGGCACUGGUAAGUUGUUCCGCCAGCGUGAUAACCUGUUGGAGCAGACUUCGGCUGAAUACGACGAUGCAGAGGCAGGACAAACUGUUUCAAGACAUUUGAAAAGCGACGCGUGGGGACAUAUGGCCACAGUUAACAGUUAACCUCAUAUCUAGAGGUUUUUGUGUACACAAAUUCAGGAAGCAGGAAGGAUUCAAGUGCCGUAGUGUGAAAUACUCCGUCAACAGAGAAAAACGCGUGUUUUCUAACAACUGUGCCCACGCGUCCCUUUGGCCUACUGCUUCAAAGGUAGGCUACCCUCUACAAUCAAUGCCAUGGCGUCUAACGCGGUCGGUUGAACAUUCUGCAUCCUCUUCCUCUUACAGCUGACUCAUACUUCUUGUUGGUCGCCCUCGAAUACGGCGUAUGAAUUGACGGCCACAUCUUUUUCGCAUCAUUUGAAAGGAACAAAUUAUUGGACAUGCUCGUGAUUAUCCAGUUCUAUGAUGCACCUGCCAAUGGAAGUGAAAGACAAGCCAACCUUAGUAUUGGUUGUUUUUGCUGCUGAUCGGUUCUAAAUCGGAUACUGGAAACCGCUGCUGUUAGUGCUCUGCAUUGGAUUUUUUCUUCGCUUUGCUCACAGUGCGUGACCUUGGUUUGUUGUGGCAAUCUAUCAGUCAAUUAACAGUCCCUUCAGGCAAAACAAGUUCGAUCCACCAUAUACAUCUGAUUUCCAUAAGAAUUACGCCUCGAAUUCGAAGGAGACAAUGUUCUAUCGCCACCUAGCGCCUCUACAAAUCGCGACUGAUACGCCUUGCCGUUGAACAUCCGUCCAAGAUAACAUAAUGCGAUCAGGUCGAAUCAUAAAUUAAUUCAAGUAAGUAAUAUGUUAUACUGUUAGUAAAUUGUAGAGUAAUUAAUUAAUAAUCUUGUUUUUUCUCGUAUCAUGUACAGGAGUCUCCAUUCGAUACGAGAUUAUUAUUGGUUGGAACCUUAUUUUUCGCCGUUUGUUAUACGUAAGUAUGUCUAAAUAAAACGUUUGUUAAUACUUAACUAACAUACGUAUUUUUAUCUCUUCCAUAUCGGUCUUAGAUUCCAUUUGCAGAUACAAAAUGGAGUGAAAGAUGCAAAAAAUCGCGUGUUAAUGCGGUCAAAAUGAAAUCGAGAUCGCACACGAUACCAAACUCAAAGGCACGAUGGAGUUUGUUUCGAAACGCGCUGAAAGGUCCAUUGAAAAUUUUCCCCUGGACCGAUUUGAUUGAUACAGGAUAUGAAUAUCUUCGAAACUUGAUCUUGGAAGGGGGAAAAUGUCCACGUUUAUGAUUUGUUUACGCUGCACCGAUCGAAAUUGGCCGCGUGAUUAUGAAAAACGGUAACAAAUCGUGGGCGGAAUAAUAUGGACCAGGAUUAGAAACCCCUGGCUAAGCUGGCGCAGAGUACGAGCGUUGAAAGUUGUAUGCUGCCUAAGUGGAAGCUGGAUUUCUUUGGGUAUGGUCUUUCUAAACUGUUCAAACUAUGUGGAUGAUGGGAAUAGAAAAAAAUUGGUGCGAAGCGUAAGAUGAAGGAUAUUUUUAUGGGUUUAAAUCAGCACAUUAAAGGAUUAAUUGUUACCUUUUUACGCUUGUCAUAAAAUCAGGAAAAAUAAAAAAAUAAUAUUAUAUUUGUUAAAAACAAAAAAUGUUUUCAUUGCACCGUUGGAAAUCAACGGUGCGGAAAGAACGAUUGAAAAUGAACAUUACAGCGUUAAAAUGAACCUUACGAAAAGGCGCUCAUGAAAUCAUGAAUCUCACGCACACACUCUCAAAAAACGGCUUCACAAGAUCUGCUGUGAAGCUUUUGUGAAGCCGCUUGUGAAGCCGUGAAUUUUACUCGAAAUUCACUCUCAGGCGAGCAGUUUGUCGAUAGGGACC